ACGUUCGGGUAAUCGCUGCAGCACUUAUGCUGUAGAGGAAAGUCCAUGCUCACACAGUGCUGAGAUGCCUGUAGUGUUCGUGCCUAGCGAAACCAUAAGCUAGGGCAGUCCGGCUUCGGCUGGAUUGACGGCGGGGAAAGCAGCCUAAGUCUUCGGAUAUGGUGCAAGUACUCUGAAAGUGCCACAGUGACGUAGCUUUAUAAGAAAUUAUAAAGGUGGAACGAGGUAAACCCCUCGAGUGAGCAACCCAAAUUUGGUAGGGGCACCUUCUUUGAGGAAAUGAACGAGAAGAAGGGCGGGUGUUUUGUCACCCGCAGAUAGAUGAUUACCGCCGGAGUACAAGACCGUCCCUGGUCGUUUGUAGUACGAUGGUACAGAACAUGGCUUACAGAA
rnacentral:RNase_P_RNA from 2 species